rnacentral:rRNA from 1 species
CCAGACUCCUACGGGAGGCAGCAGUGGGGAAUAUUGGGCAAUGGGCGCAAGCCUGACCCAGCAACGCCGCGUGAAGGAAGAAGGCUUUCGGGUUGUAAACUUCUUUUGACAGGGAAGAGCAGAAGACGGUACCUGUCGAAUAAGCCACGGCUAACUACGUGCCAGCAGCCGCGGUAAUACGGAGGAUGCGAGCGUUAUCCGGAUUUAUUGGGUUUAAAGGGUGCGUAGGCGGGCUUUUAAGUCAGCGGUAAAAGCCCGGGGCUCAACCCCGGCGAGCCGUUGAAACUGUCGGACUAGAGACGGCGAGAAGUACGCGGAAUGCGCGGUGUAGCGGUGAAAUGCAUAGAUAUCGCGCAGAACUCCGAUUGCGAAGGCAGCGUACCGGCGCCGGACUGACGCUGAGGCACGAAAGCAUGGGUAUCGAACAGGAUUAGAUACCCCAGUAGAC